GAUGAACGCUGGCGGCGUGCCUAAUACAUGCAAGUCGAGCGAAUGGAUUAAGAGCUUGCUCUUAUGAAGUUAGCGGCGGACGGGUGAGUAACACGUGGGUAACCUGCCCAUAAGACUGGGAUAACUCCGGGAAACCGGGGCUAAUACCGGAUAACAUUUUGAACCGCAUGGUUCGAAAUUGAAAGGCGGCUUCGGCUGUCACUUAUGGAUGGACCCGCGUCGCAUUAGCUAGUUGGUGAGGUAACGGCUCACCAAGGCAACGAUGCGUAGCCGGCCUGAGAGGGUGGUCGGCCACACUGGGACUGAGACACGGCCCAGACUCCUACUGGAGGCAGCAGUAGGGAAUCUUCCGCAAUGGACGAAAGUCUGACGGAGCAACGCCGCGUGAGUGAUGAAGGCUUUCGGGACGUAAAACUCUGUUGUUAGGGAAAAACAAGUGCUAGUUGAAUAAGCUGGCACCUUGACGGUACCUAACCAGAAAGCCACGGCUAACUACGUGCCAGCCGCCGCUGUAA
rnacentral:rRNA from 1 species